CAGCGCCACGAGUGGUGACCAUGUUUAUUGGGCCUAAAGCGUUCGUAGCUGGUUUAGUAAAUCUUUUGUGAAAUCGUGAAGCUUAAUUUAACGGCGUGCAGAAGACACUGCUAAACUUGGGACUGGGAGAGGUUAGAAGUAUUCCCGGGGAAGCAGUAAAAUGCUAUAAUCCCGGGAGGACUACCUGUGGCGAAGGCGUCUAACCAGAACAGAUCCGACAGUGAGGAACGAAAGCUAGGGGAGCGAACCGGAUUAGAUACCCUAGUAGUCC
rnacentral:rRNA from 1 species